CGCAGCUCAUUCUGCUCUUUAUGAUGCCCUGCGAAAGCGGUCAAGAGCUCAUAAACUUUGAAUGAUGCCCCAAGGUGCCUGCCGUCCGACUGUUGAUAAUCGUCAGUUAUACUGCGUUAUCAUGCCACGGGCGUAACGUUGAGUAAGGCACCGCCUU
rnacentral:sRNA from 1 species